GAGAGAUGGUUCCGUGGGGAUCCCUGCUUGCAUGAAGACAUGGAUUUGGAUUUUCAGCAUCCAGGAUCCGUUCUGCCAUUCUUCCUGGAAGUGGAUUUCCUGUUAUCUUUAACAAAUGUUUGCAGGGAAAAUAUCUCCUCAGAUGCAGCUGUUUGAAGCCUUCUUCCAACAGCCGUGUCAUGCAUUUGGAAUUUAACUUCCACUUAGAUGAGAACUUCACUUGCUUGUCUAAAAUGUCCUCCAUCCUGAUCUCAUGUGCUAGCCAGGAAGGAGGACUCUGAACAGAUCUGUGUCCAUCCAUAAAAGGCUCUCAACGUGCCAGGAUCCCUCCACAAAGCCUCGGUGAGUGAAGAAUUUCGAAGGAUCAACAAUGUACAUGUCACACACAUUCCGUGUGGUGUUCUUCACAGACUUCAUGACGUCCU